rnacentral:rRNA from 1 species
ACGUACACUCCUGCGGGAGGCAGCAGUAGGGAAUCUUCCACAAUGGGUGCAAACCUGAUGGAGCAAUGCCGCGUGAGUGAAGAAGGUCUUCGGAUCGUAAAGCUCUGUUGUUAGAGAAGAACACGUGCUAGGUAACUACUAGCGCCUUGACGGUAUCUAACCAGAAAGUCACGGCUAACUACGUGCCAGCAGCCGCGGUAAUACGUAGGUGACAAGCGUUGUCCGGAUUUAUUGGGCGUAAAGGGAGCGCAGGCGGUCUGUUUAGUCUAAUGUGAAAGCCCACGGCUUAACCGUGGAACGGCAUUGGAAACUGACAGACUUGAAUGUAGAAGAGGAAAAUGGAAUUCCAAGUGUAGCGGUGGAAUGCGUAGAUAUUUGGAGGAACACCAGUGGCGAAGGCGAUUUUCUGGUCUAACAUUGACGCUGAGGCUCGAAAGCGUGGGGAGCGAACAGGAUUAGAAACCCUAGUAGUCCC